CUUCUCUGAGCCGCGAGAGUCUGCUUGCUUCCUAUUGGCGAGGGGCGAUGGCACGGCGUUCUCUUCACCCCCCCUCCCCCCCUGGCUUUCAGUUGGCCUGUCAAGGGCAAGAAGAAUGGCAGGAGCUGAUGAGGCCACAGAGCGGAUGGAGAUGUGCUUCUAGAGAGACAUUCAUUAUGUGCACUGGUACCUGGUUAUGCAUCUGCGUCCACAUCAGAUGUUUGCAUGGAGAUAUUCACUAUUGGCCUAGGGCUACUAAAGAUUAACUUUUUCUGCCAGCAUCCUUCAACAUAGACGUGGACUUCUGAAGACCAAUUCGGACAACUUCACACCAUUCACCCAGCAGCUGAAGCCGGCAGCUGUAGAAGCAGCAACAGUAGACACAGCACACAGAAAACAGGAUUAAGAAGCGUCCCUAAAUGCAAUUGUGUCUAACAAGAUGACAGCGUGACAAGGUGAUGUCUUACCUUCACGGCAAACUCUGCUUCUGUGGAUUUGUGUACACACCUCUUGCAUACUGAAUGCAGCCUUACCUGGACAAUGGGGUGAACUGUGAUUUUGUGGACAUCUUGCUGUGGAGGCUCCUGCACCAAGUUGGAUGCAACGAAGCUGAAUCCCCUGAAGAGAUUAUGAGCAUUGGCACUUGGAGGGACGCCUGGGGAAUCUGCAGAGGAGCUUCCAACUGAAUCGGGGGGGAAAGAACGGAGCUGCAUUUUAAUCCGGUAAUGUGAACCUAGCCUAUGUCAUCCAAUCACCUGAAGACUUUACCACUCUCCCAUUUCCCUGGAUUUCUGAAUAGAUGCAGGUGUGUUGGAAAUUCUUGUCCACACUACAGUUUCUGUCCAUGCUAGUAUUACUCCAGAUUUUAUAGAGCCAAACUGGUGUAGGAAAAUAUCACAGUAUGGACUCCUUCCAUGUAAUCUGGUCAUUUCACAAAAUGCUGGAGGCAUAGAAAGGAACAUUGCUGCCGCAGCAACCACACUGCCAGAGAAAUGCAAAAGCUCACACUAACCUGAUCUCUAUAACUGAGAAAUUGCCUCAGGUUAUAAGAGCGAUGACUGACUACAGCAAUUUGAGAACUCUGCAGUGAAUGAGCUAAUUUGGUUUUAGCUUGGGACAGAAAGGAGCCAUUUCUGAGGUGCUAUUACUAUAUGUCAGAAUCUUAUGCGGGGAGGAAACAGAAGAUAUGAAUAGGGUGGGUCAAAGCAUAACACUCUCUCACUCAUCUGCACCCCUCGCCUUGCUGCAAAUCUGGAAGGGGAAAAAAGGCUGGUGUUUUAUUAGGUUUUGCUUAGAGCUCUAAUAUUUCCAGCGAUGUGUAGUCUAGUUGCCAUAGGAAGCUGUGGUGUUAUAGUAUAUAUAAUGCAGGAGACACCUGUGGAAGAACAAUGUAUCUGUAUAACUGAUUAUUGGGCUCUUGGAAAAGCCAGAAAAUUUAAGUUACAGAGAACUAAGUCAAAACUGUAUGAAAAACUAUCUGGAUUGGCAUCCUUUCCCCCCAGGAUCACCUGGUCAUAAUGUUCAUAGAAAGUUAUUUUUAUUGUUUCAAAAGAGGGGUGUCUAGCUGUGGAUUAAGAAAGGGGAGGAAGGCUUCUUUUAAAAUAUAGCUAGACAUUCUGUGUCAGCAUUAAAUUUCAUGGUUUGCAUUAAGAACCUACAAGACUACCGGCCGGCCCUAUCCCAUGUUGUAUAUGUACUGGAUUUGAAACUGACUUUUGCAUAUGAACUUGUUUUAAAUGGUUUGAAUAUGGGAUUCUUUUUACAUAUGGAAUUGUUUUUGUUUCUACAUAUGGAAUAAAAAAAUCCUUUUA